rnacentral:rRNA from 1 species
GAUGAACGCUGGCGGCGUGCCUAAUACAUGCAAGUCGAGCGAACGGACGAGAAGCUUGCUUCUCUGAUGUUAGCGGCGGACGGGUGAGUAGCACGUGGAUAACCUACCUAUAAGACUGGGAUAACUUCGGGAAACCGGAGCUAAUACCGGAUAAUAUUUUGAACCGCAUGGUUCAAAAGUGAAAGACGGUCUUGCUGUCACUUAUAGAUUGAUCCGCGCUGCAUUAGCUAGUUGGUAAGGUAACGGCUUACCAAGGCAACGAUGCAUAGCCGACCUGAGAGGGUGAUCGACGAAACUGGAACUGAGAGAGGGUACAGACUAAUACGGGAGGCAGCAGUAGGGAAUCGGCCGCAAUGGGAGAAAGCAUGAAGGAGAAAAGACGCGUGGGUGAGGAAGGGCUUAGGAUCGUAAAACUCUGUUAUUAGGGAAGAACAUAUGUGUAAGUAACUGUGCAAAUCUUGACGGUACAUAAUCAGAAAGCCACGGCUAACUACGUG